GGGACACUAAGGUUGGGCUUGGAGUUUUUGUUCGAGAGGAGAUGAAGAGAGAAGAUGCUGUGGAGAACCAGUCGUAGCAUAGGAUCCGGUGGGAGACCCAUUUGUUCAAGAUGGAUUGCGAGUGACGUUCGGAAGGUGGUGUGUGCUUUCACAUUGACCGAGGGCCCAGAGCAUGAGUGACAGAGAAGUUCAAGGAAAACACAUUUCUGUUGAAAGGGAACCGACAGGCUGCAGCUCAAGCUGACCUGAAAGGGAGACUUCAAGGUGGUGCACAAGUGACCUGAAAGGGCGAUGGCCAAGAGGACCUGAAAGGGAUCAUGGCACUUGAGAUUGGACUUAAGCAAUAAGUGAUUGAUAGUGAUUGUUAAUCCAUAAUGAAAAUGGCAGAAGAAAACCAAACGAAAAAGAAGUAUUGUGGAUAACCUGAAAUUGGAUUUAUACCAGCACCAAGCAAACAACUGCAGCCCAUGUAUCUGUUGUGUGACAAAUGAGGCCGUGAAACCACCCAGGCUCCUUGAAAAUUUGAAGAGCAUACACUCUGCUAACUGAAACAAGAACUUGGCUACUUUUCAGUCACUUGCUGAAAAACUUCAGAAAUGGUAAACACUUCAAAAUAUGUUCAAACACUUCACAACAAAACAGUCAUGCUUUGCGUGCUUCAUACAGAACUUCAUUGCUCAUUGCUGAAUCUGGAAGCCCCAUACAAUUGGGGAAGAACUGGCUCUGUCAGUAGUAGACUUAUGAAUAAGUCACCAGACUAAGUAACUAAAAUGAUUCCAUUCAGUGAUAACUCUGUUCAAAGAUGAAUAAAUGAAAUAUCUGAGAAUGCGGAAGACACAUUGUUCAACAUACUUCUGAAAAUAGAAUUUUCUCUGCAGUUGGAUGAGUCAACUUUGCUAGACAAUCAGUUUUUGCUUCGUGCUUAUGUUUGCUUCAUAAAAGAUGAAAGUAUGGUUCAAGAGUUGUUAUACAAGCGGAGUAGAAACAGAUACAAAGACAGAGUCAUUAUUUCGGGUUGUUGAGCAAUUUGUCAAAGUGAAGGUCAUUCCACUCAGCAACAUUCUUGUUUGUGCAACAGAUGUGGCACCAUGAAUGACAGGACACCACUGUAGGGUUAUUAAUUGUCUCCACAUUUCUGCUCAAGUUAACCCUAUUUCAGUGCAACCUUAGCAGGCACUAUCUUUUCCAAUUUACAAUUCUCUCCGAGUUGGAAGCGAAAGAAAGAAUAUUAUCUGAUGAUGUUCAAGUAUAUCGUGCACACCUGUGUGAGCUGCAGAAAGAGAUGGCAGAGAGAUUUCAGGAUCUUCUCUCAAUCCAGAUUCCGGAUUUGGUAAUAAAUCCAUUCCUGAACACUUGCAAUGAGGAAUUAUCAGGAAGGUGCAGUAAGAACUGCUCUUGCCACAAAUUGACUUUGAGCUUCAAAAAAUCAUAUCAAGACUUUUAGUUGCAGAAAGAAAUCUUUUAACACUAUCCUGCACUGUGGAAAAAGGUUGAGAUACUCUUGUCUUUCCAACAUCAAAUGUAGUGGAGCACAGUUUCUGUGCAGUUGCCUAACUUCUUUCAAAAGAAUGAAACAGACUGCAAAUCACUCAAUAUGGGUAUCUGAGAGUCCUUCUAAAUGAUGUUCAGCCUGAUUUUGAGAAGCUAUUAUCACUACACCAAGCCCAUCUAUCUCAUUGAAAGGUGAAAACAACAAUGAAGUAGUGAAUAGUUGGACUACUAAAGAAUACUCUAAAAUUGUUGAUGAUUGUUUUCUCUGUAAUUAAAUAACAAAAUAAUUUUAUUUGUAACUUUAUUAAAUAGAUUUGAAUAAUGUUUGCAAUUAUUUGUCACUGCUUUGAAAUUGCAGUUCCUAUUUUCUUUCACUGUGCAUCGUGAAUCAAAAUUCUUCAUUAGGUAAUGGCCAGAAAAGUAGAGGGAUGGCCUGCAGAAAUGGUCUCAGAGCCAAUGGGGUGGUAACCCAAAAAGUUUGGGAAGCACUGUUAUAAAUAAAAAUGUUCCAAUAAGGCAACUGACAUAACUUGUGUUGUGUCAUAAAUGCUUCAUUCACCACGUGAACUGUGUAGGAAAGCUAUGGAAUAAGUAUUGGUGAACACUGUCUACAAUGCAAUGUUUUAAUAAAUACUGCAGUGCUUCUUCACAUUUUAGUGCUAUCCCAUUAAGACCAAUGUAAGAAAAUUUUCUCACAAAAUACUCUCAACCUUCUACUGAGGGGGCAGGCAAACUUCUCACAGAGGUUGCUGAAGCUGUUAGUGUGCCAGCAAGCCAGGUUCAAUUCUGCUGCUGACUGCAAGGAAUUUGUAUAUUCUCCCUGUGACUGCGUGGGUUUCCUCUGGGUGUUCAGUUUCCUCCCACAUCCCAAAAAUGUACAGGUUAAUAGGUUAAUUAGUUACAUGGGUGUAAUUGGAAGGCACAGGAUCAUUGGGCGGGAAGAGCCUAUUACCUGGCUGUUAGUCUUGCAAGACCAUGGACCUGCACCUGGAAAGUCUUCACUCUCCGGGGCACAGGCCUGGGCAAGGUUGUGGGCAAGGUUGUAUUGAAGACCGGCAGUUGCCCAUGCUGCAAGUCUCCCCUCUCCAUGACACUGAUGUUGUCCAAGGGAAGUGCAAGGGCCGAUACAGCUUGGCACCAGUGUCAUUACAGAGCACUGUAUGGUUAUGUGCCUUGCUCAAUGACACAACAUGCUGCCUCGGCUGGGGCUUGAAUUCACAACCUUCAGAUCGCUAGUUGAAUGCCUUAACCACUUGGCCACGUGCCCAUACUACCUUACUGUACCUCUUAAUAAAUAAAUGCCUUAUAUGUUCACAUUUUCUUAGCGACCUUACAAUAUGAGCGAGAUUGCUGUAAGAUCAAGAUCACUUCCACAAAACACU